rnacentral:rRNA from 1 species
GACGAACGCUGGCGGCGCGCCUAACACAUGCAAGUCGAACGAGAGAGAGGGAGCUUGCUUCUUCAAUCGAGUGGCGAACGGGUGAGUAACGCGUGAGUAACCUGCCCUAGAGUGGGGGACAACAGUUGGAAACGACUGCUAAUACCGCAUAAGCCCACGGUACCGCAUGGUACUGAGGGAAAAGGAUUUAUUCGCUUUAGGACGGACUCGCGUCCAAUUAGCUAGUUGGUGAGGUAACGGCCCACCAAGGCGACGAUUGGUAGCCGGACUGAGAGGUUGAACGGCCACAUUGGGACUGAGACACGGCCCAGACUCCUACGGGAGGCAGCAGUGGGGGAUAUUGCACAAUGGGGGAAACCCUGAUGCAGCGACGCCGCGUGGAGGAAGAAGGUUUUCGGAUUGUAAACUCCUGUCGUUAGGG